rnacentral:lncRNA from 1 species
AAAAUAUUAAGCAAAAGAAUAAAUACAAAAUGAUAUAUAUGAUUCCAUUUAUAUAAAAUGAAGUUAUACUGGUAGAAGGCAAGUUAGUGGCCACCGUUGGAUGUGGAGGGAAAUGAGUGAAGGGGUCUUCUGGAAUUCAGUAAUCUUUUUUUUUUUUUUUCUUUUUCUUUUUUUGUGCUGGGUAUCCAAUCUAGGGCCUUGCAAAUGCUGGGCAAGUGCUUUACCACUAGAAGAGCAGACACAUAAAUGAGAAAUAGAAAAGGAUCAAUCAUUAUCAACACAGAAAACCCAUCAAAUCAUAAAGAUGAAUAAGAGUGGAAGAACUGAACAAAGACUAUUCAACUAGAAGCAAAUCAACAAAAUGAUAGGCACAAGUCCACACCUUUCGUUAAUAACUCUGAAUAUAAAUGGCCUUAAUUAUUCAUUUAAAAGACACAGACUGGCCAGACAUGGAGGCACAUGUCUCUAAUCCCAGUUACUCAGGAUGCUGAGGCAGGAGGAUCACAAAUUCAAAGACAACCUGGACAAUUUAGAACUUGUCUAAAAAUAAAUGUUUUUAAGACUUAAAGUGGCUGAAUUAAAAACAAGACUCAAAAAUAUGCUGCCUACAUGAAACUCAUCUCACCAAUAAAGAUAAGUGAAAGGAUGGGGUCUAAGCAAAUGGAAUCUUAAAAACAAUCAGGAAUAGCUAUAUUUAUAGGUAAGACAAAAGCAGUAUGAAGAGAAAAAGAUGGUCACUAUAUAAGAGUCAAGGGAUCCAGGCUGGGGUUGUGGCUCAGUGGUAGCAUGCUUGCCUAGCAUGCAUGACGUACCAGGUUUGAUUCUCAACACCACAUACAAAUAAAUAAAGGUCCAUCAACAACUAAAAAAAAAAAAAAAUCAGGGCUGGGGAUAUAGCUCAGUUGGUAGAGUGCUUGCCUUUCAUGCACAGAGCCCUGGGUUCAAUCCCCAGCACCACAAAAAAA